rnacentral:rRNA from 1 species
UACGUAGGGGGCGAGCGUUGUCCGAAGUUACUGGGCGUAAAGCGCGCGUAGGCGGCUCUUUAAGUCUGAUGUGAAAGGUUCACGGCUCAACCGGAACAGUGCAGUCGAUACUGAUGAGCUCGAGUUCGGUAGAGGGUGACGGAAUUCCCGGUGUAGCGGUGAAAUGCGUAGAUAUCGGGAGGAACAUCGAUGGCGAAGGCAAUCACCUGGGCCUGAACUGACACUGUGACACGAAAGCGUGGGUAGCAAACAGG